GGGAUUGCCUCAGUAACGGCGAGUGAAGCGGCAACAGCUCAAAUUUGAAAUCUGGCUCCGUCGGAGUCCGAAUUGUAAUUUGUAGAGAGUGCUUCGGGCGAGGCCUCGGUCUAAGUCCAUUGGAACAUGGUGUCACAGAGGGUGAGAAUCCCGUAUGCGACCGUGGCUCGAGCCGAUGUGAAGCCUCUUCGACGAGUCGAGUUGUUUGGGAAUGCAGCUCAAAAUGGGUGGUAAAUUUCAUCUAAAGCUAAAUACCGGCUGGAGACCGAUAGCGCACAAGUAGAGUGAUCGAAAGAUGAAAAGCACUUUGGAAAGAGAGUCAAACAGUACGUGAAAUUGUUGAAAGGGAAGCGCUUGCAACCAGACCUGCCCGUAGGCGAUCAGCCGCUGUUCUCAGCGGUGUACUCGCUCUGCGAUCAGGCCAGCAUCGGUUUCGGCGGUCGGAUAAAGGCCUUGGGAAUGUAGCUUCUCUUCGGGGGAGUCUUAUAGCCCUCGGUGUAAUGCGGCCAGCCGGGACCGAGGACCGCGCUUCGGCUAGGAUGCUGGCGUAAUGGUUGUAAGCGACCCGUCUUGAAACACGGACCAAGGAGUCUAACAUCUAUGCGAGUGUUUGGGUGUCAAACCCAUGCGCGGAAUGAAAGUGAACGGAGGUGAGAACCCUUAAGGGCGCAUCAUCGACCGAUCCAGAAGUCUUCGGAUGGAUUUGAGUAUGAGCAUAGCUGUUGGGACCCGAAAGAUGGUGAACUAUGCCUGAAUAGGGUGAAGCCAGAGGAAACUCUGGUGGAGGCUCGCAGCGGUUCUGACGUGCAAAUCGAUCGUCAAAUUUGGGUAUAGGGGCGAAAGACUAAUCG
rnacentral:rRNA from 1 species